rnacentral:misc_RNA from 1 species
CAUCAGCAACUCACGCAUAUGCAAGGCAUGUUCGGGAAAACCCCGAUUCGGAUUGCCGACCUGUCGCGACUGGAGACCACGUGUCCCUUCAUUGCGCUCAUGCCGCAGUGGGACUUCCUCAAUUUCCUCGAAACCAAAGGCGCGCGCUUCCCGUCGCUUCAAAUCCUGAAAAAUACCGAGGCCAUCGAACUGGUCAGGGAUGGCUCGCUUAUUACCGGAGUCGUUGCCAAGG